CAGCGCCACAAGUGGCAAUCGGUUUUAUUGGGCCUAAAGCGUCCGUAGCCGGUCAUGUAAAUCUUUUGUGAAAUUGUUGGGCUUAACCUAACGAAUGGCAGGAGACACUGCAUGACUUGAGAUCGGGAGGAGUCAGAGGUAUUCAGGGGGGAGCGGUAAAAUGCAUUAAUCCCUUGAGGACCACCUAUGGCGAAGGCAUCUGACCAGAACGAAUCUGACGGUGAGGGACGAAAGCUAGGGGAGCGAACCGGAUUAGAUACCCGAGUAGUCC
rnacentral:rRNA from 1 species